AGCUGUUCCUGAAUCGCUGAGUGUGUGCCUUCAGGCUUCUGUACCUCCUGCCUGAUGGUACCAGUGAGAAAAGGGCUGUACUGUUUAUGUUCUAUGAUGUAGGGUACAUGACUUUGCUGAACCAGUGGUUCAGGAAGAUGAGCAGACUGGUUAAUAAGGGCAUUACCUUCAGCAGGCCACCACAUAAGGAGUGCAGCAUGAUACAUGCACAACAAUUGCUACGUACUUCUAGGGCAGCUGAUUCCUCGUCUCAUGUCAUGGAAUUUCUUGAUUUCACCCAUGCUUCGUUGUUCUUUAUUGGAUGGGUGGCAGUCGUGGUGGAUCGAGCAGUCCAGAACACAUAUCAGACAGAGAAUCCAUUGAAGGGGCCUUUGAAGUGCCUUGUACAAUAAGCACUGACUGCUUCCCAGUUAAAAUCAGCAUCAGGUUUAUUAUUACUAAUUGAUGUUGUGAAAUUUAUUGUUUUGUGGCAGCAUUUCAGUGCAAGACAUAAAAAAAACCUAAGUUACAAUAAGAAAUAAAGUAAAUAAAUAGUGCAAAGAGUGGAAUAGUGAGGUAGUGUUCAUGAGUUCAUGAACCCAUGAGAAAGGAAGAGGCCAUCCCUAAAAUGUUGAGUGCGCAUCUUCAGGCUCCUGUACCUCCUCCUUGUUGUUACUAGUGAGAAGGGGACAUGUCCCAGAUGGUGAGAGUCUUUAGUAAUGGAUGCUAUCUUUUUGAGGUACCACCUUUUGAAGAUGUCUUCGAUGGUGGCGAGGCUUGUGCCCGUGAUGGAGCGGGGUGAGCCUACAACACUCUGCUGUGUCUCGGUGAUGCAACUAGUCAGAAUGCUCUCCAUGGUUUAUCUGCAGAAGUUUGCUAGAGCCUUUGGUGACAUGCCAAAUCUCUUCAGACUUCUAAUGAAGUAUAGCCAGUUGGUAAGCAAACCUCUAUUAUUGUCUCUUAGCAAGCUAGUCUCCUUAGGUGUUGGGGUCACAGAUGUUUUGACAGCACUGAAGAAUCCAAGCCUGUUGCGGUUAUUGGUGAGUUCCUGAUCUCCCUGUGCAUUUCCACCUACCAUAUGUUGAACUUCAGCUUUCAGUGCCAAAGAAAUUGUUUAUCUGCUCCUUUUCUUGACAAUGUUUCCAGUCCAAAUAUGAUUUGCAUUUGUGUUUGGUUUAAUCCUGAAUCCCCUGAUAGUUUUGAUAAAUCAGGACUUAGUGAGUUCAGAUGGAGAAGCCAAACAUUUUUUUUUGUAGGCACUAGUUACAAUGGACUUCAAGGCUGACCAAAUUCUAUGAGCAUUCUGCUGUCCCUGCUGGUUUAGACUCGGGUUGUUUGUAAGGUAAGUAGAUUUAGUGUUGUGGGCUUUCACCUCAAUUUAUGUCAUUGUCCCUCAGACAUGAAAACUGAUGGGCAGAAGGUUCUUUCAGGAUACUAUCCCUUUAACAAGUCAGUCAGUCAAAAGAAGCUUUCCCUCCAAAAUAUAAUCGAUUUGUUUUUGAAAACAAGAGGCUUUGCUAUUGAAGAGCAACAUCAUUUGAUCAGUUGGACUGUGCACAGGAGAGCUUUCAAAAUAUGGUCAAAAUGGGAGUGCUUUGCCCCAAUAACAUUAACAAGAUUCUGUAGAUUUUGUGUCAUGGGAAGUAUUUGGCCCGUUGAAAUUCUGUAACGUAUGUGAGUGGGAAGAAGUUUGGUCCAUUGGAUUCUAUAGUGUAUGUAAAUGAGUGAAAGUUUUGUCUUUUGUGUGGAUCUGCAAUUUAUUCUACUAAAGAACAUUAGAACAGUUUUAGAUGUUUUCCCUCCAGUGACUUUGUUACUGAUGCUUAUACCAAUCCGAACCUUAAUGGAAUUGCAUUGAAAGAUCAACAAGUUCUCAUUAACAAGGUCAAAAACAUCAAAGUGUUAAUGAAUAACUCUAGUCUGAACCUACAAAGACACCGAAUAAAAUUUGUUUGGAGUUUUAGAGGUUAAAUAUGAGUGGAACUCAGAUUUUCAUUUCCGUUCGGAUUGUUCAUAGCUUGAAACAUCCACCAUGAUAAUCAAGUCAUCGAUUGUGAUUUCAAUCCUCCUCACACUCUCAGGUGAAUCAUUUUGUCUUGGAGUCCACAAAAGCUGCCUCUCUCAGUAUACCAUCAAACGACAUUCCUGUGACUGUCCAAAUGUCAUGAUAGAGAAUUGUUUGGAACCCUGCAGAGCAAGUCCUGAUGGUGCCUCACCAGCUGCCUUGUAAUGGAGAGGGCCCUGGCUCUAUGAAGUCACCAGGUUACUUCUUCAAUGACUAGAACCCACUUCUCAGUGAAUUAAACUGCAGACUCAUUGAACCUUUCUCGUGUGUUCUUUCUCUAUUCCUUCCAUUCCCUUCACCCUGAAGGCUCAUGGGCUGACGAUAGUGAUCAGUUUCAAAAUGUCUUGAGAGACCGCAUCAGCCAAUUGGACAAUGAUGCCGAGGAUGAUGCGAACCAGCUACAGGGCUUGAAAGCUAACCAACGACACAACCCCACAAUGGCUAAUCCUGGCCUGACUCCCAUCGCAGACGACUUUGAAACGGAGAUGUCUGAGAGGAGAGAGGCCAUUCAACAGCAGGUCACAGAGCAGCUGAGCAACAUGGGUGAGAAGCUCUCAGUUGCCAUUGAUGGCAUGCGUCAGAAGAUCAGCAAGGACGUUGAAGAAAUUACUCAAAGUCUGACACCCAGCGUUGAAAAACUCAACUUCAACCGAUGGGGGCAGUUACUUACCCCCUACAACAAGGUUCUUAGGGCCAGACUGGAAAGCAUGAAGGACGCGCGGGAUGUGCUGAGUCCAUCCAUUGAGCGAGUACAACUGAAAACUAUUGGAAAUGUGAACAUCCAGCACAUGACUGGCAAUGACGAGCAGACACGCAGCAUGGUUGACCAAGUCUCGCAAGAGCUGCUCAAUAAGAUAAUUCCGCUGAUCAAAGAUAGCAUGAGCAAGGUGAGCCAACUGGCAAUUGAAGUAGCCCAGAAGGGUUGUUCAAAAUAAGAUAGAUUCUUAGCACAUAAGGUGGUUCUGUACAUCAGAGAACUAACUGUAGGCCAGCCUCACAAGUGUUGAAAGCACCAAAUAAAAUCUGGAAUCAUAUAUCUUAGCAGCAACGUCAACCAGUAGAUUGAAACAAGUGGUCCCUGUAAAGAAGGCAACAAAAAAUGUGGAGGAAACACAAAACAAAAUUGUCACAAAAUACAAACGUCAAUCAGCAGAAUCUACCGUGUGUGUCCUCGGCUUUGCCAAACUUCCACCUGCAGCCCUUAAACAGCAAAAGUACUUAGCUAAAUUGUUACCCAGAACUGUGGAAUUGCUUUGGAACACAAAAUGCCAUGUCUUUGCUUGUAGUCAUUUAAAGCCCUUCAAAUGCUUUUAUUUGUAAAAAACAAUGAUUUUGAAGCCACUAAU